CAGGGUCUGGAUUCGUUUCUCAGGACCUAUACUUACAUGGCUACUUCAGUGCUUCUAUCAAGUUGCCUGCAGAUUAUACUGCUGGAGUUGUGGUUGCUUUUUAUAUGUCAAAUGGAGAUAUGUUCGAGAAGAACCAUGAUGAGAUUGACUUUGAGUUCUUGGGUAACAUAAGAGGCAAAGACUGGAGGAUACAGACAAAUAUUUAUGGUAAUGGUAGCACCAACGUUGGCAGAGAAGAAAGAUACAGCCUCUGGUUUGAUCCCUCUGAUGAUUUCCAUCAGUACAGCAUUCUCUGGACUGAUUCCCAGAUCAUAUUUUAUGUGGACAAUGUUCCUAUUAGGGAGGUGAAAAGAACAGUAUCUAUGGGGGGUGAUUUCCCUUCAAAGUCAAUGUCUUUGUAUGCAACGAUAUGGGAUGGGUCUGACUGGGCUACCAAUGGAGGCAAAUAUAGAGUAAAUUACAAAUAUGCACCUUAUGUCACAGAAUUCAGCGACUUUGUGCUACAUGGAUGUGCUGUUGAUCCGAUUGAACAGCACAUAUCAAAAUGUGAUAUUGCAGAGAGUUCUCAAGCAAUCCCCACUGGUGUCACCCCAUUGCAAAGAAUUAAAAUGGACAGUUUUAGGACAAAGUAUAUGACAUAUUCCUAUUGCUAUGAUCAAGCUCGAUACAAGGUUCCUCCAUCUGAGUGCGUUAUUAAUUCCCAAGAAGCUGAACGACUCAAAUCAUUCGAUCCUGUUACAUUUGGAGGAGGCCGGCGCCAUCAUGGGAAACGCCAUCGCCGGAGCAGAUCAAGGCAUCCUGAGGACAUUUCCAUUUAAGGAAGUUGCAUCAUCACUGCAUAAUGUUGGGGAUCAUUGUAUCGAGC
rnacentral:misc_RNA from 1 species